GAUGAAGAACGCAGCGAAAUGCGAUAAGUAGUGUGAAUUGCAGAAUUCAGUGAAUCAUCGAAUCUUUGAACGCACAUUGCGCCCCUUGGUACUCCAUGGGGCAUGCCUGUUCGAGCGUCAUUUACACCCUCAAGCUCAGCUUGGUGUUGGGCGUCUGUCCCGCUUCGUGCGCGGACUCGCCUCAAAUGCAUUGGCAGCGGUCUUGCCAGCUUCUCGCGCAGCACAUUGCGCUUCUAGAGGCUUUGGCGGAUCGGCGUCCAUCAAGUACACCCACAGUUUGACCUCGGAUCAGGUAGGGAUACCCGCUGAACUUAAGCAUAUCAAUAAGCGGAA
rnacentral:misc_RNA from 1 species